GAAAUGCGAUAAGUAAUGCGAAUUGCAGAAUUCAGUGAAUCAUCGAAUCUUUGAACGCACAUUGCGCCCGCCAGUAUUCUGGCGGGCAUGCCUGUCUGAGCGUCAUUUCACCACUCGCACCCGGCCUCGCGCCGGGGGCGGCGUUGGGGAUCGGCCGCCCGUCACUGGGAGGCCGGCCCCUAAAUGGAGUGGCGACCGCGCCGUAGCCUCCUCUGCGUAGUAGUAAACUCACCUCGCAGGCGGAGAGCGGUGCGGCCCGCCGUAAAACCCCCAACCCAUCACUAGGUUGACCUCAGAUCAGGUAGGAAUACCCGCUGAACUUAA
rnacentral:misc_RNA from 1 species